rnacentral:rRNA from 1 species
UACAGAGGUCCCGAGCGUUGUUCGGAUUCACUGGGCGUAAAGGGUGCGUAGGCGGUGGGGUAAGUUUGAGGUGAAAGCUCCGGGCUCAACCCGGAAACUGCCUUGAAAACUAUCCGGCUAGAGGGUUGGAGGGGAGACUGGAAUUCUCGGUGUAGCAGUGAAAUGCGUAGAUCUCGAGAGGAACACCAGUGGCGAAGGCGGGUCUCUGGACAACACCUGACGCUGAGGCACGAAAGCCAGGGGAGCAAACGGG